rnacentral:rRNA from 1 species
CCCUUUGGGGACGGAACCUCGGGAACUGAGAAUAAUACCCGAUAGAACAUUAUGCCUGGAAUGGUUUAUGUUUCAAAUGAUUUAUCGCCAUAGGAUGGGACUGCGGCCUAUCAGUUUGUUGGUGAGGUAAUGGCCCACCAAGACUAUUACAGGUACGGGCUCUGAGAGGAGUGGCCCGGAGAUGGGUACUGAGACACGGACCCAGGCCCUAUGGGGCGCAGCAGGCGAGAAAACUUUGCAAUGUGCGAAAGCACGACAAGGUUAAUCCGAGUGGUUUCUGCUAAAGAAACCUUUUGUCAGUCCUAGAAACACUGAUGAAUAAGGGGUGGGCAAGUUCUGGUGUCAGCCGCCGCGGUAAAACCAGCACCUCAAGUGGUCAGGAUGAUUAUUGGGCCUAAAGCAUCCGUAGCUCGUUUUGUAAGUUUUCGGUUAAAUCCAUGCGCUUAACGUAUGGGCUGCCGGGAAUACUGCAUAACUAGGAAGUGGGAGAGGUAGACGGUACUCGGUAGGAAGGGGUAAAAUCCUUUGAUCUACUGAUGACCACCUGUGGCGAAGGCGGUCUACCAGAACACGUUCGACGGUGAGGGAUGAAAGCUGGGGGAGCAAACCGGAUUAGAUACCCGGGUAGUCCCAGCUGUAAACUAUGCAAACUCAGUGAUGCAUUGGCUUGUGGCCAAUGCAGUGCUGCAGGGAAGCCGUUAAGUUUGCCGCCUGGGGAAGUACGUACGCAAGUAUGAAACUUAAAGGAAUUGGCGGGGGAGCAC